rnacentral:rRNA from 1 species
GACGAACGCUGGCGGCGUGCCUAAUACAUGCAAGUAGAACGCUGAAGGAGGAGCUUGCUUCUCUGGAUGAGUUGCGAACGGGUGAGUAACGCGUAGGUAACCUGCCUGGUAGCGGGGGAUAACUAUUGGAAACGAUAGCUAAUACCGCAUAAUAGUAGAUGUUGCAUGACAUUUGCUUAAAAGGUGCAAUUGCAUCACUACCAGAUGGACCUGCGUUGUAUUAGCUAGUUGGUGGGGUAACGGCUCACCAAGGCGACGAUACAUAGCCGACCUGAGAGGGUGAUCGGCCACACUGGGACUGAGACACGGCCCAGACUCCUACGGGAGGCAGCAGUAGGGAAUCCUCGGCAAUGGACGGAAGUCUGACCGAGCAACGCCGCGUGAGUGAAGAAGGGUUUCGGAUCGUAAAGCUCUGUUGUAAGAGAAGAACGAGUGUGAGAGUGGAAAGUUCACACUGUGACGGUAUCUUACCAGAAAGGGACGGCUAACUACGUG